rnacentral:snRNA from 1 species
GUGCUCGCUUUGGCAGCACAUAUACUAAAAUUGGAACAAUACAGAGAAGUUUAGCAUGGCCACUGCUCAAGGAUGACACACAAAUUCGUGAAGCGUUCCAUAUUUUU